rnacentral:rRNA from 1 species
UACAAUGGAGAGUUUGAUCCUGGCUCAGGAUGAACGCUAGCGGGAGGCCUAACACAUGCAAGCCGAGGGGUAUUUUGGAGCUUGCUUCAAGAGAGACCGGCGUACGGGUGCGUAACGCGUAUGUAACUUACCUAUAUCACGGGGAUAGCCCGGGGAAACUCGGAUUAAUACCGGAUAACAUAUAAUGUAGCCUUACAUUGUAUUAAAAGGAUUUAUCGGAUAUAGAUAGGCAUGCGUAGGAUUAGUUAGUUGGUAAGGUAACGGCUUACCAAGGCAAUGAUCCUUAGGGGGCCUGAGAGGGUGAACCCCCACACUGGAACUGAGACACGGACCAGACUCCUACGGGAGGCAGCAGUGAGGAAUAUUGGACAAUGGGUGAGAGCCUGAUCCAGCCAUCCCGCGUGAAGGACGACAGCCCUAUGGGUUUUAAACUUCUUUUGUAUGGGAAUAAACCACAUUACGUGUAAUGUGCUGAAUGUACCAUACGAAUAAGCAUCGGCUAACUCCGUGCCAGCAGCCGCGGUAAUACGGAGGAUGCGAGCGUUAUCCGGAUUUAUUGGGUUUAAAGGGUCCGUAGGCGGAUUUGUAAGUCAGUGGUGAAAUCCUACAGCUUAACUGUAGAACUGCCAUAGAUACUGCGAGUCUUGAAUAGUAUUGAAGUAGCUGGAAUGUGUAGUGUAGCGGUGAAAUGCAUAGAUAUUACACAGAACACCGAUUGCGAAGGCAGGUUACUAAAUACCGAUUGACGCUAAGGGACGAAAGCGUGGGGAGCGAACAGGAUUAGAUACCCUGGUAGUCCACGCUGUAAACGAUGGAUACUCGUUGUUGGGGAGUAAAUUCUCAGUGACUAAGCGAAAGUAAUAAGUAUCCCACCUGGGGAGUACGACCGCAAGGUUGAAACUCAAAGGAAUUGACGGGGGCCCGCACAAGCGGUGGAGCAUGUGGUUUAAUUCGAUGAUACGCGAGGAACCUUACCAGGGCUUAAAUGGGAAUUGACGUACUUAGAAAUAAGUAUUUCUUCGGACAAUUUUCAAGGUGCUGCAUGGUUGUCGUCAGCUCGUGCCGUGAGGUGUCAGGUUAAGUCCUAUAACGAGCGCAACCCUUAUCAUUAGUUGCCAACGGGUAAAGCCGGGAACUCUAAUGAGACUGCCAGUGCAAACUGCGAGGAAGGUGGGGAUGACGUCAAAUCAUCACGGCCCUUACGCCCUGGGCCACACACGUGCUACAAUGGCCGGUACAGAGGGCAGCUACACAGCGAUGUGAUGCGAAUCUCGAAAGCCGGUCUCAGUUCGGAUUGGAGUCUGCAACUCGACUCUAUGAAGCUGGAAUCGCUAGUAAUCGCAUAUCAGCCAUGAUGCGGUGAAUACGUUCCCGGGCCUUGUACACACCGCCCGUCAAGCCAUGGAAGCUGGGGGUACCUGAAGUCGGUGACCGUAAAAGGAGCUGCCUAGGGUAAAACUAGUGACUGGGGCUAAGUCGUAACAAGGUAGCCGUACCGGAAGGUGCGGCUGGAACAUCUCUUUUUUAGA